GAUGGCGACCGGCGCACGGGUGAGUAACACGUAUCCAACCUGCCGAUGACUCGGGGAUAGCCUUUCGAAAGAAAGAUUAAUACCCGAUGGCAUAGUUCUUCCGCAUGGUGGAACUAUUAAAGAAUUUCGGUCAUCGAUGGGGAUGCGUUCCAUUAGGUUGUUGGCGGGGUAACGGCCCACCAAGCCUUCGAUGGAUAGGGGUUCUGAGAGGAAGGUCCCCCACAUUGGAACUGAGACACGGUCCAAACUCCUACGGGAGGCAGCAGUGAGGAAUAUUGGUCAAUGGACGAGAGUCUGAACCAGCCAAGUAGCGUGAAGGAUGACUGCCCUAUGGGUUGUAAACUUCUUUUAUACGGGAAUAAAGUGAGGCACGUGUGCCUUUUUGUAUGUACCGUAUGAAUAAGGAUCGGCUAACUCCGUGCCAGCAGCCGCGGUAAUACGGAGGAUCCGAGCGUUAUCCGGAUUUAUUGGGUUUAAAGGGAGCGUAGGCGGACGCUUAAGUCAGUUGUGAAAGUUUGCGGCUCAACCGUAAAAUUGCAGUUGAUACUGGGUGUCUUGAGUACAGUAGAGGCAGGCGGAAUUCGUGGUGUAGCGGUGAAAUGCUUAGAUAUCACGAAGAACUCCGAUUGCGAAGGCAGCUUGCUGGACUGUAACUGACGCUGAUGCUCGAAAGUGUGGGUAUCAAACAGGAUUAGAUACCCUGGUAGUCCACACAGUAAACGAUGAAUACUCGCUGUUUGCGAUAUACAGUAAGCGGC
rnacentral:rRNA from 1 species